rnacentral:miRNA from 1 species
GAGAGAGUAGAGAAGUGUGGGAGG